rnacentral:rRNA from 1 species
GACGAACGCUGGCGGCGUGCUUAACACAUGCAAGUCGAACGGAAAGGCCCUGCUUUUGUGGUGUGCCCGAGUGGCGAUCGGGUGAGUAACACGUGUGUAACCUGCCCUUGACUUUGGGAUAACUUCAGGUAACUGGGGCUAAUCUCGGAUAGGAGACCCUGCUGCAUGGUGGGGGUUGGAUAUUUUCGGCGGGUGGGGCUGGACUCGCGGCUUAUGAGCUAGCUGGUGGGGUAGUGGCUUACCAAGGCUUGGGCCGGUACCCCGCCUGGGAGGGUGGACGGCGACCAUGCUACUAAGAGACGGACCAGACUGGUACGGGAGGCAGCGGUGGGGAAUAUUGCACAGUGAGCGGGAGCCUGAUGCGACAACGCCGCGGGCGGGAAGACGGCCUUCGGGGAAAGAACAGCUUUAGCCUGUGACGAAGCGUGAGUGACGGUAAUGAGUAAAUAAGCACCGGCUAACUACGUG